GGACCAAAUCCAAAGCUCUUGUCCGUCACCUGACAACUCUUGGGGGGACAGGGCAGGAAAACACCAUAUAUAGGAUGAUGGAAGCGCUGAUGACAUCUCCUAUGGCAACUUUAUUCAACUGGAAGGGCCGUGCAAGAGGGGAUGGCAGCAAAGAAAAACAUGGUCUGUGCAAAAGCAGAAUUGCCAGAGUCCUGCAUGAUGCUGCCAAAAAAAAUGGUAUCAAGGAAAGUGACGCAGAAAGAAUCAUGAAGACAUGGUUGAAAAAUGCCAGUGACAGGGAGGGGGGAAGGCAGCGAAGAUUGUUG